AGGGGGGGGGGGGGGGGGGGGGGGGGGGGGUUUGGGGGGUUAAACCCCCCCCUUUGGAAAUUUUGUGUGUGUAAACCCCCCUAAAAAAAAACCUAAAACCCCCCCCCCCCCCCCCCCCCCCCCCCCCCCCCCCCUUUGGAUUUUUUUUUUUUUUUUUUUUUUUUUUUUUUUUUUUUUUUUUUUUUUUUUAAUUAUUAAAAAAAAAAAAAAAAAAAAAAAAAAAAAAAUUUAU